rnacentral:lncRNA from 1 species
CGUGGCUGAAUAAGUUGUUCUUUGUGGCAUUUCUGUUUUGUAGGAUGGCAACGUGAUCUAAGCAUGUGACUGAAGGAAUCUAACUCAAUACACCCCAGAGAUACUAACACAUCUAUGUUGAUUGCAUCACUAUUUACAAUAGCCAAAAUAUGUAAUCAGCUUAGAUGUUAGAUAAGAGGACCAAAAUCAGCUUAUGGAGGAAAGAAUUCUAUUUCAGUUUAUGGUCUAGAGGACUAGAACCUGUGAUGGUGGAGGAGGCAUGAAAGCAGCUAGCCAGAGCAAGAAGCUGGACAAUCGCAUCCUCAACCACACACAGGGAGCAGAUGGUGCACUGGAAGCAAGGAGUUAAAUGAGAUAGUACAAGUACCUGGAAUAAAUGUCAACUGUGAUAACAGGUGAUGAAGAUGUUGAUAAUGGAGAAGAACGUGUUUCACAUAUGGAUGCAAUUAAAGAUCUUACUGAAGAUUUGAAGGACAAUGGAAGUUGGCAACCCUAGUCUGAAUUUGUAUGAAAACACUGGAACCAAAGGAAGAGUCCAUCAGAUUUAUUAUUAACAGGUCUUUGUGCCAAUAUACCACUUCUAACACUGUUGUCUUGAACUAAUUUCAAACAUUCAAAAAAACAUAGGAAUAGGACAGAGUGUCCCCUGCAAUUCAUCAAGGCAGAGCAAUCUGUCACCUUCUUCAUCUCUCCCAUGUAAUAUGAAGAAGGAAGUAGGACCAAUUACAUGAAAUAGAAGAUUUUUUAAUGCUGAAUAAAACUGUAUCCCAGGAAAAACACAAGCACUUCUCUAGUUGUCCCAACCUGACACUGGAACCUAGAAACUGUCUGGAGAGCCGCUGAUCCUUAACUGAUGAUGGAAGCCUAGUAUGCUGGUUCUAAGUGGAAGAAUCAUCGUCAUCACCAUCACCAUCAUCUUCACCUACAGCAUCAGCAGCAAUAGGGUAAAUCAACGCCUGACAAGAGCAAAGGCCACGUGAGCAGAAGGGAAGAUUCCAAGCAAAGUAAAGUAAGACCAAGGAGGGGAAGCUAGACAGCAGCAGCAGCUUCAAAAGCAGGGAGAACUGGAGAGAAGGGAUUCAUUUCCCAUUGGAUCUCACUAAAG